ensembl:lncRNA
GUAAGUAAUUAAUUUGUUGUUAAUGUUGCAGGAUGUAACUGACAAGGACUCAUGCAGUCAAACUCCAGUGGGAAUCCUCUGCUUCGAAUCAGACUUCAGUUCGCAUCAGCCACUGCACUGUACUACAUGUCACAUGACAACCUGCACCUGAAUCACGUUUCUGUUAAUGAGCACACUUAUAUAGCAUAUAUAGCCAUUGUUUGCACUGCUUCUCUGUCUUACUUUUAUCUUAGACCACCGUGUUCCAUGUUACCAUAUUUAUUGAUCUUGUUAGUUUGUUUAUUUUUUGCCACAGUAUUAUGCCAAGUUGUCUUAGUGUCUUUGUUUUGUUGUUUGUUUAAUAAAACGUUGUAUAUCGGCGAUUGCUUCCGAAUCUACGUUGAAACAUGACAAGCAUAAAGCAAAGGAAAUUCUCAAUUGGUUUCAGAGAAAAAAAUCAAGGUGUUAGAAAGGCCCAGUCAAUCACCUGACUUCAAUCCAAUUGAACAACAUUUAAAGACAAUAUGUUUAUAAGAAUGGGCCAAAAUCACACCUGAAUACUGUGGCCGAUUAAUUUCUUCACACAGGAAGGGUCUUGAAGCUGUCAUUACAAACAAAGGCUUCU